GAUGAACGCUGGCGGCGUGCCUAAUACAUGCAAGUCGAGCGAACGGACGAGAAGCUUGCUUCUCUGAUGUUAGCGGCGGACGGGUGAGUAACACGUGGAUAACCUCCCUAUAAGACUGGGAUAACUUCGGGAAACCGGAGCUAAUACCGGAUGAUAUUUUGAACCGCAUGGUUCAAAAGUGAAAGACGGUCUUGCUGUCACUUAUAGAUGGAUCUGCGCUGCAUUAGCUAGUUGGUAAGGUAACGGCUUACCAAGGCAACGAUGCAUAGCCGACCUGAGAGGCGGAUCGGCCACACGGGAACUGGAACACGGUCCUGACUCCUACGGGAGGCAGCAGUAUGGAAUCUUCCGCAGUGGGCGAGAGCCUGGCGGAGCAACGCCGCGUGAGUGAUAGAGGUCUUCGGAUCGUAAAACUCUGUUAUUAGUGAAGAACAUAUGUGUAAGUAACUGUGCACAUCUUGACGGUACCUAAUCAGAAAGCCACGGCUAACUACGUG
rnacentral:rRNA from 1 species